AAUAUUAUGUCUGAAAAAGAAAUAAAUUGUAAAUUUAUUUAUAAAGAUUAUAAAUUCUUUUAAUAUUA
rnacentral:tRNA from 1 species